rnacentral:sRNA from 1 species
CCGGAGCCACGGCGAUGCUUCGGUGCCGAUCGAAGUGUGGCGCAUUACCCCGCGGGCUUUUGCCCGCGGGGUAAUGCGGAUC